GGUUAAGUGAAUAAGGGCGCACGGUGGAUGCCUUGGCACUAGGAGCCGAUGAAGGACGGGACUAACACCGAUAUGCUUUGGGGAGCUGUAAGUAAGCUAUGAUCCAGAGAUUUCCGAAUGGGGGAACCCAAUAUCUUUUAUAGGAUAUUACUUUUCAGUGAAUACAUAGCUGAUUAGAGGUAGACGCAGAGAACUGAAACAUCUUAGUACCUGCAGGAAGAGAAAGAAAAUUCGAUUCCCUGAGUAGCGGCGAGCGAAACGGGAAGAGCCCAAACCAACAAGCUUGCUUGUUGGGGUUGUAGGACUCCAAUAUGGUAGUCUGUUAGUAUAGUUGAAGGAUUUGGAAAAUUCCGCUAAAGAGGGUGAAAGCCCCGUAGACGAAAUGCUGACAACACCUAGGAGGAUCCUGAGUACGGCGGAACACGAGAAAUUCCGUCGGAAUCCGCGGGGACCAUCCCGCAAGGCUAAAUACUCCCUAGUGACCGAUAGUGAACCAGUACCGUGAGGGAAAGGUGAAAAGCACCCCGGAAGGGGAGUGAAAUAGAUCCUGAAACCGUGUGCCUACAACAAGUCAAAGCUCGUUAAUGAGUGAUGGCGUGCCUUUUGUAGAAUGAACCGGCGAGUUACGAUUGCAUGCGAGGUUAAGUCGAAGAGACGGAGCCGCAGCGAAAGCGAGUCUGAAUAGGGCGAAUGAGUAUGUAGUCGUAGACCCGAAACCAUGUGAUCUACCCAUGUCCAGGUUGAAGGUGCGGUAAAACGCACUGGAGGACCGAACCCACGUACGUUGAAAAGUGCGGGGAUGAGGUGUGGGUAGCGGAGAAAUUCCAAACGAACUUGGAGAUAGCUGGUUCUCUCCGAAAUAGCUUUAGGGCUAGCCUCGGAAUUGAGAAUGAUGGAGGUAGAGCACUGUUUGGACUAGGGGCCCAUCUCGGGUUACCGAAUUCAGAUAAACUCCGAAUGCCAUUCAUUUAUAUCCGGGAGUCAGACUGCGAGUGAUAAGAUCCGUAGUCGAAAGGGAAACAGCCCAGACCACCAGCUAAGGUCCCAAAAUAUAUGUUAAGUGGAAAAGGAUGUGGGGUUGCACAGACAACUAGGAUGUUGGCUUAGAAGCAGCCACCAUUUAAAGAGUGCGUAAUAGCUCACUAGUCGAGUGACCCUGCGCCGAAAAUGUACCGGGGCUAAACAUAUUACCGAAGCUGUGGACUACACCAUUAGGUGUAGUGGUAGGAGAGCGUUCUAAGGGCGUUGAAGGUCGAUCGUGAGGACGGCUGGAGCGCUUAGAAGUGAGAAUGCCGGUAUGAGUAGCGAAAGACAGGUGAGAAUCCUGUCCACCGUAUGACUAAGGUUUCCUGGGGAAGGCUCGUCCGCCCAGGGUUAGUCGGGACCUAAGCCGAGGCCGAUAGGCGUAGGCGAUGGACAACAGGUUGAUAUUCCUGUACCAGUUGUUUUUGUUUGAGCAAUGGAGGGACGCAGUAGGCUAAGGAAUGCAUGCGAUUGGAAGUGCAUGUCCAAGCAAUGAGUCUUGAGUAGAGUUAAAUGCUUUACUCU
rnacentral:rRNA from 1 species